rnacentral:rRNA from 1 species
ACGUCCUACAGGGAGGCAGCAGGUGGGAAUGAUUGCACAAUGGGCGCAAGCCUGAUGCAGCCAUGCCGCGUGUGUGAAGAAGGCCUUCGGGUUGUAAAGCACUUUCAGUUGUGAGGAAAGGUUAGUCGCUAAUAUCGGCUAGCUGUGACGUUAGCAACAGAAGAAGCACCGGCUAACUCCGUGCCAGCAGCCGCGGUAAUACGGAGGGUGCGAGCGUUAAUCGGAAUUACUGGGCGUAAAGCGCGUGUAGGUGGCUUGUUAAGCCAGAUGUGAAAGCCCCGGGCUCAACCUGGGAACUGCAUUUGGAACUGGCAGGCUAGAGUUUUGUAGAGGGUGGUAGAAUUUCAGGUGUAGCGGUGAAAUGCGUAGAGAUCUGAAGGAAUACCGGUGGCGAAGGCGACCACCUGGCCAAUAACUGACACUGAGACGCGAAGGCGUGGGUAGCAAACGGGAUUAGAUACCCUGGUAGGCUCUG